UCCUCCUGCUCGGCCACCACUGCUACUGCUGCCGCCGCCGAGUUUUUCACUCAGCCUCCCCUGCCGUAAAGCGCCGUCGCUGUUACCCCCCGGUAAAGUUUCCUGUCCCUAGUUUUACGACACUUCCCUGCCUAGCGGCUUCCCGAGUACUCAAAAGGAAAGAGAGGAGGAGUAGGAGGGACAGACCCACCUGAGCGGGUGCUAGUGGAAAUGUAUCACUGAAAAUGAAGUCUUAAAGUACAAAUCUGAGUAAUAACAUUUGAAUCAUGAAAUAUUAAUGACCCAACACAUUUAAGGAAGCUCUGGAUUUUGGAAAUGGAAUUUCUGUGACUUUUCAUUUUGUGAGACGAGGCAUUGGGACCCCACAUUUCCAGAAUUGGCUGUGGAGACCCCAACUCCAGACAAGAAAUUUUCACUGGCUGUGAUAGUCAACCAGGUGGCCACAGUUCCCCAGAAGCAAAAGCCUGCUGGGUACUAUAACCCUCUAGAACAAGCACUGGAAAGCUGUGAAUUGCUAAACUGAGGAACAGAGGGAGUCGCAUAGGACAUCAGUAAAGUACAUGCAUCAAUGCUGUGAACCUUGAAGGCUUCUAGAUGCUGAUAACAAAGGCAGUUACACAGUAACAGUAGUAGUAGCAGUGUUGGGCUGGUGACAAGCAAAGCAACAAGAAAGCAUCAGCUCUGGAAAGAGAGACCACCAGAAGAAGAUCCCAUUUGGUGUCUGACCAUAAAAUGCUAGUACAAACAGCUAGCUAUGUUCCAAUGAAGCUUAAGCAUAUAAUAUUAGUAGUGAUAAAUUACUGAAUUCUGUUCUAAAUAUUCUAUAAUUUUUAUUGCUUGACAUUUCUUUUUC